GCGAACGCUGGCGGCAGGCCUAACACAUGCCAGUCGAACGAACUCUUCGGAGUUAGUGGCGGACGGGUGAGUAACACGUGGGAACGUGCCUUUUGGUUCGGAAUAACUCAGGGAAACUUGUGCUAAUACCGAAUGUGCCCUUCGGGGGAAAGAUUUAUCGCCAUUAGAGCGGCCCGCGUCUGAUUAGCUAGUUGGUGAGGUAACGGCUCACCAAGGCGACGAUCAGUAGCUGGUCUGAGAGGAUGACCAGCCACACUGGGACUGAGACACGGCCCAGACUCCUACGGGAGGCAGCAGUGGGGAAUCUUGCGCAAUGGGCGAAAGCCUGACGCAGCCAUGCCGCGUGAAUGAUGAAGGUCUUAGGAUUGUAAAAUUCUUUCACCGGGGACGAUAAUGACGGUACCCGGAGAAGAAGCCCCGGCUAACUUCGUG
rnacentral:rRNA from 1 species